rnacentral:rRNA from 1 species
AGCGAACGCUGGCGGCGUGCCUAACACAUGCAAGUCGAACGUGAAAGGGAGCAAUCCCAAGUAAAGUGGCGUACGGGUGAGUAACACGUAGGUAAUCCACCCCAGAAUCUGGAAUAACCGGCCGAAAGGCUGGCUAAUACUGGAUAGAGCGACGGAAUCCGUAACUGGGUUUUUCGGGCAAGGGAGCCUGUAAAAAGGCCCUCGUUCUGGGUUGAGCUUGCGUCCCAUCACCUAGUUGGCGAGGUAAAAGCUUACCAAGGCAAUGACGGGUAGCAGGUAAGUGAAGACGGUCAGCAGCUCUGGCACUGAAACACAGUCCAGACUCCUGCGGGAAGCAGCAGUGGGGAAUCUUGCGCAAGGGACGAAAGUCUGAAGGAGCCACGCCGCGUGAGUGACGAAGACCUUCGGGUUGUGAAGCGCGGUCGGGUGGGACGAAAAUGCUUGGAGUUCACAGCUCCAGGAGCUGACGGUACCAGUAAAGGAAGCACCGGCUAACUCCGUG